AUACGAAGGGGGCUAGCGUUGUUGGGAAUCACUGGGCGUAAAGCGCGCGUAGGUGGAUCAAUUAGUUGAGGGUGAAAUCCCGGGGCUCAACCUCGGAACUGCCUUCAAUACUGUUGAUCUUGAGACCGAGAGAGGUGAGUGGAAUUCCUAGUGUAGAGGUGAAAUUCGUAGAUAUUAGGAAGAACACCAGUGGCGAAGGCGGCUCACUGGCUCGGUACUGACGCUGAGGUGCGAAAGCGUGGGGAGCAAACAGGAUUAGAUACCCUAGUAGUCC
rnacentral:rRNA from 1 species